rfam:Gossypium raimondii Chr05_contig_377, whole genome shotgun sequence.
UGUUAAAAAUUCUAUCCAUUUCUACAAUAAAAAACUGGCGUGGCUGACAAAAUAAUCAAAUAAUUACACGUGGCACGUGACAUGUAUCUCAUUAUGAUAUACAGGGACCAGUUUUUAACAGUAGGAUUAGAUGGAAAUUUUAAUA